UUGGAGGGCAAGUCUGGUGCCAGCAGCCGCGGUAAUUCCAGCUCCAAUAGCGUAUAUUAAAGUUGUUGCAGUUAAAAAGCUCGUAGUUGAAUUUCGGGAUUAGUACGUUGGUCGUGCCUUCGGUACGUACUGGUGUUACUGAUUCCUACCUUCCGACGAACCAUCAUGUCAUUAAUUUGGUGUGGUGGGGAAUCAGGACUGUUACUUUGAAAAAAUUAGAGUGUUUAAAGCAAGCUAACGCUUGAAUACAUUAGCAUGGAAUAAUGAAAUAGGACGUUCGAUCCUAUUUUGUUGGUUUCUAGGAUUGACGUAAUGAUUAAUAGGGAUAGUUGGGGGCAUUAGUAUUCAAUUGUCAGAGGUGAAAUUCUUGGAUUUAUUGAAGACUAACUACUGCGAAAGCAUUUGCCAAGGAUGUUUUCAUUAAUCAGGAACGAAAGUUAGGGGAUCGAAGAUGAUCAGAUACCGUCGUAGUCUUAACCAUAAACUAUGCCGACUAGGGAUCGGACGAUGUUAUUUUUUUGACUCGUUCGGCACCUUACGGGAAAC
rnacentral:rRNA from 1 species